UAUCCACUCUCCCUCCCGUAUCAGCGGCCGCACUACAUCUCGCCAACGACGCCGCCGCACUACAUCUCGCCGUCGACGCCGCCGCACUACAUCUCGCCGUCGACGCCGGCAACCCUAGCGCCGUCGCGGCUCACCUCCAUACUCGCCGCCCCGCCAAGCACCACCGGCCCCAUCCCCUGCAUCACCCGCUGCCCCUUGCAUCCCCCAUCCAGGCCUCGACGCAGCACCGCCGCCCCUGAAUCCCGUACUCAUGCUGUCACCCAAUCCCCAUCGAUAACUCCAAACAUCUGCACUUCCGACGCACGCCCCGCUCAUCCGCAUCCGCGUCGCACCCGCAUCCCCAUCCAGAGCCGCCGUCGCAUCUGGUCCAAACCGAGCAGCAGGGCAACCGGCGGCCAGAUCCACCAUGGUGCUUCCAGAUCCACGGUGCUCAAGCCAUGGAGCUCAUCCAGAAGUUCGUGCUACUGCUGCAGAAGAACUCAGCAUACCCAUAGAGGGACCUGACGGAGGAGGAGGAGGAGAAAGAGCUCUUCAUGGCACGCCGCAUGGCUCAGCCCCACUAUCGGCGCUACUCCAACCCUAGUAUACGGGACAAGGACCGCUCCCCUCUCUCGAUUUGCUCUCCUUUCCUAUACGCGCUUCAUCAACACCACGGCCAAGCCAGCCCUCAAGCAAAGAUUGACAACUGUUAAGGUGGAAACUGCAGAAUCAUAUUUGCGCACAAUGGAAAAAGUUGGGAUCGUGAUUGAUAUGCAGGUACACACGAGACAUCCAACAUCACCAGUGAGGUUGCUGGGCACAAGUUUGGCUAGCCAAGCAGCUCUGCUAGCUCCGACGCUACGCUCACUUAAAACACCUCCCUUGUUUGGUUCCGGGGGAGGAGGCAAGCCUCUGCUCUCAUGCUCUUUGUGCUCAUGGCCAUUGAGCCAUGCCAAAAUAUACUGCUUUGGCUUGUGGUGACACCUCUUUCCAUUUUGCAAAUAUGUAAACUCCCCCUGUAGCAUUACCUUUCAAGUCAUCGUGAUGUUCAUUUGGUGGUAUUUCCAAGCUAAACAUGUUAUAAGGUUAGCCAUCAAUGUUGAAUUCAAAUACACAUGGCUAUACAUAUCGUGAUCUGAAUGAUCUCUCCUUAAUCUGGGUUGCCUUCUCCUCACAUGCAUAGUUGGUCUGUUUAAAUGAAGCUUCUCGGCAGCUACAUGUCUUGUUAAAAAGUGAUUUUAAAAUAUAAAUAGAAGAUAGAAACUAGAGAGAGGGGAGAUUUGGAGUGAUAUCCACUGUAAAAAAGGGGGGUUAUGUUCCAUAUUUGUCUUAUUCUCUCAUAAUGCUUGUUGGCUAUACACUUGAGUAGAAUUACGAGUUACUGUCGGAGUUAGGGUCAGUUUGGUUUGCAUCCACACCCAUAUAUGCCUGGCCUGGAUAGUGCCUGGAGUUGGCCUGGUAGUUGUUUGGUUUGUGCCUGGGAAAGAAAAUACUUGCCUGGCCUGGUUAUGUGAUUAGCCUGGUGAAAAUAAAAAAAUUAUAGAAAAUGCCCAGGCAGAGUGAUUAGCCUGGUCCAGGCGUCCGGUUUCGUUCGCCUGGACGGGCCGCAGCCUCGCCUGGCACUAAUAAAGGACACAGGAGGUACAGUCCACUGUUUAAAAAAGGUUUUCUAAUCACAAAAGGACAAAGCAGCAGGCUAGGGUAGAAACAAAACACACCACUGCGUGGCUAGCCUGGGCAGGCAGAAAACUUCAACUUUCCAGGCGCAUGCCAGGCACCAAAAAAUUUCAGGCAGGGAUCCCAGGGUGCAAACCAAACUGACCCUUAAUCAAUGUAUUGAGUUAAUUUUCUAUGAGAUGUCCAGCACUACUCUCUAUAGUAGUAUAGAACCUGAGUUGAAUCCUUCUCCCUGGAAAUGUGAGGACCAUGCCGAAUGUUCUCGGGCGAUCUAUUGCUUGGCCUCGUAGAUAUGUAAAACUUCUUUCUGAUCACGUUUAUUUCUGCAGCUGUAGGUCAAAUUGCAUCCUACUGAUAAUCCUAUGUAUAUAUGCAGAUGGAGAUUUAUCACAAGGUUAUGCAGAAGCAACCAUGAAAGCCGGUAGUAGUCCCCACAUCUACACGGCAUUGCAGAUUGUUAGAAGGUUGUAUCCACAAGUUUCAAGAGGCGUGUUUUGUGAGUUGAACGGAUCUUCUACUAGCAUAUGUUUCUAACUAAAACUAGAUCCCUUAUUUUGCACUUUUGCCUGUGAUGUAAUAGUGGUCUUAAGAAUGUACGUAUGUAUGCCUAUGUGUACAUGUAGACAUUCUGGAUGGUUGUGCUUUUGGCUACCCUGUAAUACUGGACGUGUAUGCCUAUGUGUGCAUGUAGGCAGGCGAUGGAGCUUUGUUCUUUUGGUUGUCCCGUAGUACUACUGGACUAGCUUGUGAACCUUUGUAUGCAUGAUGGAUUGCUUAUAUAUACUAUAUUGGUACACAUUAUCUCUUAA